AAUAAACACUUUCCACAUUAGCUCUCUCUAUAUUUCAAAAAACCUCUCUCUCUCUCUCUCUCUCUCUCUCUCUCUCUCUCUCCAUCUCUGAGCUCUUCACCACAUGGCGUCGUCUUCUUUCUCCUCCUCCGCACAAACCUUUCUCCCAGCAAAUCCCUCUCCCUAACCUACCUAAUCGACUCUUGCGGCUUGUUCCCCGAAUCCGCCAUUUCCGCGUCCUAGAAGCUCCGCUUCAAGAGCACCGAUCGCGAGCUUCGAGCUCGAUCUCACUCUCGAUCUCUCUCCCUUUCCCUUUUUUUUUCAAAUCGGAGCUUCUCCACCGCGAGCUUCGAGUCUCUCUCCCUCAAAUCGGAGCUUCUCCACCGCGAGCUUCGAGAGAUUAGGACGCUCUCCACCACGAGCUCGAGCCCCAUCUCCGGACGAUUUCUUACUUGGAUCUAACGAUUCCACGAUCGGGAGAGGUGCGCUAUUGAUUUUUCUUUCAUUUUUGGCAUUGAUCUUACAGUGUUAGUGCAAUUUGAUCUCGAAUGGCUUCUCUAUUAAGCCGAAGUGUUCGUAAUCGGGGGUUUCAUGAGUUAAUUUUUGGAUUCGCUUGCGAUUUGUGUGUUAAAUCAGUUUCACUGUAUUACUUUGAAGAACUAGUGUGAUAUUCCCUUGACUAAUUUACAUUAGUUCUCUCUAUUUUCUUCACUUGCUGUUCCAUGUUUAUUUUUCUCUACUAAAACCCCUUAGAUAAGGAGUUGUGCAUGAUUGGAGAGAUUAUAAUUAUUUGGGUUGCAGAUUUAGCAUUUCUCUUACAUUAAUACAUUGCGCUAACUAUAUGGUAUAAUUUGAGUAUUAAUAACUUAUAUCAGGUUCAGAUUCAGAACCUUUAUUGGUCCGAAUUGGAUCUGAUCCAUUUUAUAGCUUAUUGGUAUGGAAAAAAUAUAUAUAUUAUUAUUUCUGUUGUAGUAGAGAGCAAAAAUAAAUUUAUAUCCCUCCAAUUAAGUAUUUCUAAUGUCGCAACAAAAUUAAACUCUUAUUAGAAGUAUUUCACUGUUUUAAAAUAAUGAGAGCUGUUUAAACAGUACUUUAUGAAUUACCAAUAUACAUUAUAGAAUUGAUCGUUAAAUUAGAUAUUACAAGACAUUUUAGCAAAUAACAGUGACAACUUAAGGCAAAAAAACUGAUUAACAACAACUAAAGAAAAAUGGAUCCAAAGAAGAGGAAAGGCAUGUUGCUUGUUUGCAACAGAUAACUUUGGGAAGAUUUUCAGCAGUUUUAUGUUCUAAAGAGGACACGUUCGGCGUUCGAUUAUGAUCAUAUUAGAAAGAUAGUGAUAUUUAGAGUUUGAGUAAAAAUGACAAAAUGGGUCGGUGGUUAACAAAGAAGGGAAUAAGCAUUUUCCAUAAUUCUUCUAAGUAAAGACAAGAAUAAGUAGCACGAUAUGUUUCAAUUCUUACGUACGAUCUAUUGAUAUGUUAAAGAGUCUAUAUCGCCUCUAGAAAAACAGCUAAGUGCUUCGAACUUAUUUGAACUUUUCGGUUUACUUAUCAAGCGAUCCAAGUAAUGAUUUUCUACUUCAAGUCUCAAGUCCUUAGAGCUUUAAUGUCUGUCAUUAAUGGCACCUGUUCUAAAUUCUCUUACUAUUUCUAAGAAGGAAAAUUAGAAAAUAAGUAUAACGUUUUAAUUGGAGAUAAUUUGUUGGUUCCAGAUGACAUUUCACAAGUUACUACUGCUUCAUGUUACAUCUGACUGGUUUUGAUGGUUGUUAAAAUGUCAUGGGAAUAAUAUGCCGUUAUUUUUCUUACUCUGUAUAGCACCAAUUAGUUUGAUUACACUUCUUUAGGUUUUGUCUCAAACUAUAGCAACUACCAUUUUGUUCUUUUUAAAAGCAGAUUUUUCAUCUGUUUCAAGAAAGGAACAUAGCAAACAAGAAAUGAUUUAUAAAUCCGAUUUGUUUGCAAAGUUAAGAUUUUUUUUUUUUUAGAUGUUGAGGUUGGAAAUAAGCAUGGAUAAUUCAAUAUAAUCUUAUGAUAGGUGUUUGGAGGAGAUUUGACCGAUCUAGUGCGCUUAAAUUGUCAGAUUUUAAUGGCUAUUAUAAGAUGAAUUUGAACCCACAUGAUCACCAGGCAAAUUAUAUCGUAAUACUGUGAAAUUUGGUUUCUGAGAAGUUCAAAUAGUUUAGAUCUUGUUCAACUGAAUUGAUUGACGCCCCACUGUUGAAAACAACGUGUAAGUAAAUGACUACGUUUACUUUUAGGAGUAUUCUAGCCUAGCUC
rnacentral:lncRNA from 1 species